AGCAGCCGCGGUAAUUCCAGCUCCAAUAGCGUAUAUUAAAGUUGUUGCAGUUAAAAAGCUCGUAGUUGAAUUUCGGGAUCAAUAUGUUGGUCGUGCCUCGGUACGUACUAGCUUAUUGGUUUCUCCUUUCUGAAGAACCAUGAUGUCAUUUAUUUGGUGUCGUGGGGAAUCAGGACUGUUACUUUGAAAAAUUAGAGUGUUUAAAGCAGGCUCACGCUUGAAUACAUUAGCAUGGAAUAAUGAAAUAGGACGUUUGAUUCUAUUUUGUUGGUUUCUAGGAUCGACGUAAUGAUUAAUAGGGAUAGUUGGGGGCAUUAGUAUUCAAUUGUCAGAGGUGAAAUUCUUGGAUUUAUUGAAGACUAACUACUGCGAAAGCAUUUGCCAAGGAUGUUUUCAUUAAUCAAGAACGAAAGUUAGGGGAUCGAAGACGAUCAGAUACCGUCGUAGUCUUAACCAUAAACUAUGCCGACUAGGGAUCGGAUGAUGUUAAUUUUUAA
rnacentral:rRNA from 1 species